GUCUUCGUGGUGUAGCGGUAACACUCCUGUCUUUCCAAACAGGCUUCGCCGGUUCGAUCCCGGCCGGAGACU
rnacentral:tRNA from 1 species